GGGUGCGAUCAUACCAGCACGA
rnacentral:rRNA from 1 species